AACGUAGGACGCAAGCGUUAUCCGGAGUUACUGGGCGUAAAGCGCGGGCAGGCGGCUCGAAACGUCUGAUGUGAAAUCUCCUCGCUCAACGGGGAGAGGCCAUUGGAAACGGUCGGGCUGGAGGGCAGUAGAGGCAGGCGGAAUUCCGGGUGGAGUGGUGAAAUGCGUAGAGAUCCGGAGGAACACCAGAGGCGAAGGCGGCCUGCUGGGCUGCACCUGACGCUGAGACACGAAAGCGUGGGUAGCAAACAGG
rnacentral:rRNA from 1 species